rnacentral:rRNA from 1 species
GACGAACGCUGGCGGCGUGCUUAACACAUGCAAGUCGAACGGUGAAGCGCCGUCCUUUUUGGUCGGUGUGGAUGGGUGGCGAACGGGUGAGUAACACGUGAGUAACCUGCCCCCUCCUUCUGGAUAACCGCAUGAAGGUGUGGCUAAUACGGGAUAUUCUGAGUCUGUUGCAUGAUGGGUCAGGGAAGGAUUUUGUUUCGGUGGGGGAUGGGCUCGCGCCCUAUUAGCUUGUUGGUGGGGUGAUGGCCUACCAAGGCGGCGAUGGGUAGCCGGCCGGCGAGGGUGGUUGGCCGCACUAGAGCUGAGACACGGUCCAGACUACUACGGGAGGGAGCAGGAGGGAAUCUUCCGCAAUGGGCGGGAGCUUGACGGAGCAACGCCGCGUGAGUGAUGAAGGGGUUCGGGUCGUAAAACUCUGUUUUUGGGGAUGAACAAAUGUGUAAGUAGCUAUGCACGGCUUGACGGUACCUAAUAAGAAAGCCACGGCUAACUACGUG